rnacentral:rRNA from 1 species
GUGAGGAAUUUUGCGCAAUGGGGGCAACCCUGACGCAGCGACGCCGCGUGGAGGACGAAGUCUUUCGGGAUGUAAACUCCUGUCAGUGGGGACGAUAAUGACGGUACCCACAGAGGAUGCACCGGCUAACUCCGUGCCAGCAGCCGCGGUAAGACGGAGGGUGCAAGCGUUGUUCGGAAUUACUGGGCGUAAAGCGUAUGUAGGCGGCAAGUUAAGUUCAAUGUUAUAGCCCACGGCUCAACCGAGGAGAUGCAUUGAAUACUGGCUAGCUAGAGGGUGUUAGAGGAAGACGGAAUUCCCAGUGUAGCAGUGAAAUGCGUAGAUAUUGGGAGGAACAUCGGUAGCGAAAGCGGUCUUCUGGGACAUACCUGACGCUGAGGUACGAAAGCGUGGGGAGCAAACGGGAUUAGAUACCCGGGUAGUCC